UCUGCAAGGACGUAAAAGAUGGUCACAGCAGAAGAUUUGGUGAAUAUCUCACUGUGGUGGGCGAGAGACUAUCCUGUGACAUCAGUGAUGCACCUUGUCCUGCCAUCAACGACGAGGAUGCCUUAUCCUUGCAUGAUUAUGAGCGACUACUAAGGGAACAGUUCAACAUCUACACGUGUCUCCACCCUUCGGCUUCCUCCACAGAGGACCACCGUACCAGGUGCAGCCUUAUGUGAGGGAACAGUUUCCUAUCUACACGUGCCCCAACCCUUCAGCUCCCUCUACACACGUCCUCUGUACCAGGUGCAGCCUAUUGUGAGGGAACAUGAACAGUUUCCCAUCUACACGUGUCUCAACCCUUCAGCUUCCUCUACACACGUCCUCUGUACCAGGUGUAGCCUUAUGUGAGGGAACAGUUUCCCAUCUACACGUGCCCCAACCCUUCAGCUCCCUCUACACACGUCCUCUGUACCAGAUGCAGCCUAUUGUGAGGGAACAGUUUCCCAUCUACACGUGUCUCAACCCUUCAGCUUCCUCUACACACGUCCUCUGUACCAGGUGUAGCCUUAUGUGAGGGAACAGUUUCCCAUCUACACGUGCCCCAACCCUUCAGCUCCCUCUACACACGUCCUCUGUACCAGGUGCAGCCUAUUGUGAGGGAACAGUUUCCCAUCUACACGUGUCUCAACCCUUCAGCUUCAUCUACAGACGUCCACAGUACCAUGUGUUGCCUAAUGUUAGGGAACAGUUCCACAUCCACACGUCUGUCCAUCCAUCAGCUUCCUCUACAGAAGACAUCAGUACCAGGUACAGCCUCAUGUGAGGGAACAGCCAAAGGGAAACGUUUACCCCGAUGUGCGAUGCAAGGAAAGCUUGAGGCCCUGAUGUGUCAUAUGCAUUGUUUCGAUAUAUCAAGCAGAGGAUCACAUUGACAUUAACAUUUAUGAAAUAUUAUUGCUUUUAACAGUAUUAUAGAACAUAGCUUGCGGCAGUAGCAGACCUCCAAACAUGGUUCUUCUUUUCAACAGUUUAAUAUUGAUUAUGUUUGUUUAAAAGUGUACAUAUUGGUGCAACUAGUUCUUUUAUGCCUUCAUUAUUGUAAUUGUCUGUUUGACUGUGUUUGUUUUCAUUUAUUAUUUGGCAUCGUUUACUAUGUGAGGGUCUCUGGAAGCCUUCUAUGAUUUAUUUUUAACCAAUAAUCCGGUUGAAUUUAUUUCUAUAGGUUUCGUAUUGUCUUACUGUAAAUAGUUCCACACUGAUAUCCUUGUUUUAUUCUUGAUGAUACAUAUUUGCUUUCAUUGUGCCAGUUUUCGUUUCCUACCAAAUUGACUGCUUUUUACAAAGAAAAUGGGUAAAAUGGAUCAUAUAUGUAUACAUACAGAUAAAGUUCAGAACAGGGUUAUUAAAUAAUUCCAGUUCAAAGGUUUCUUUUUCAAGUACUGAAAUGGAAAUAUCGAAAUUAACUUCUGAUGAUGUCACUGCUGUUUACAAGGAAAUCUGUGCGAAGAAUAUGGGUAUGUCAUAUAUUAAUCUGAUUUGUAGACUUUGAAUAGUUACUUCAGUGGAAAUACUAACAUUAUAAGCUGACAUUAAAAAAACGUGUAAAUUAAUAAUUGUUUCAAGCAUUUGUUGAUGAUAUAUGUUCGUGUCGGUUCUGAUUGUACUAUUCACACACGUGACAGUUAUUGAACUUUCACAACAUAAACAACAUAACAGGACAUUGAAAUUGAGGUCGAAAUUAUAACUCAUGGUCUUUCCGUUUAUGUAUUAAUACUUCAACUGAUACAAAGAGAUAAAUGAAUGUAUUUUAAACCUUUUUUAUUUCGUUUCUAUUUCCUUCUGACGUACGCUUCUGACAAUUCACAAUUAUAGUGAGGACAUGCUCUUUGUAUUUAUGAUACUGAUAUUGCCUUUUUUAAGCCUUUUAUAAAAGAAUUUGUGAAAUAAAUCACUUGAAUGUCACAAUCAUAUGUCAAAUGCAUUCCAAGAAGGAAAGUUUUGAUUGAAUCGCUUUAGCCAUCAUGAAUACUCAGUAAUUGGCAACCAUCAAUUUGUAUGACACACUGCCAACCACAGUUAUAGUGAUGCAUCUAUGAUAGCAUCCUGGGGUGGA